CGGACGGGUGAGUAAUGUCUGGGAAACGUGCCUGAUGGAGGGGGAUAACUACUGGAAACGGUAGCUAAUACCGCAUAACGUCGCAAGACCAAAGAAGGGGGGACCCUUAGGGCCUCUUGCCAUCGGAUGUGCCCAGAUGGGAUUAGCUAGUAGGUGGGGUAACGGCUCACCUAGGCGACGAUCCCUAGCUGGUCUGAGAGGAUGACCAGCCACACUGGAACUGAGACACGGUCCAG
rnacentral:rRNA from 1 species